rnacentral:siRNA from 1 species
CGCAUGCCCUCAACAUGUCCUCGA